UGCUCCAGAAUAGCUCUUGGAAACGGGUGGUAAUGCUGGAUGCUCCAACUUGACGCAUGUCUUGUUGGGAAAGUGUUUAGUGGCAUGGGAUGGGGUCGCGUCCUAUCAGCUUGUAGGCGGGGUAAUGGCCCACCUAGGCUUCGACGGGUAGCCGGCCUGAGAGGGCGGACGGCCACAUUGGGACUGAGAUACGGCCCAGACUCCUACGGGAGGCAGCAGUC
rnacentral:rRNA from 1 species